UCCUGUACAGUACGACCCGAUAAAUGUCAUUAUGUCACUAAUUCUUAUAAUUAAACGAACAACUUCCUGUUCAGCUAAAUCAACAAAACUAACAAUGCCGCAAGAAUACUUUCAACCUUGAACAACCUUUUCAGCUAGAGCAAAUAUCUUAACUUUGUCUAUUUGCUCACUACAAUUAGCAAAAUACGGAUUCAUUCUAACAUAACCUAUCAUAACAUGGUCUCCCCCUUUGAAGACAAGCGUCCCCGCUUGAAAAUUUGAUAUAUCAUGUAAAUGAUUCAUGCUAAACUAGAGAAGAUGUCCGAUAAAAGAUAAUUUGAAAAUCAAUGCUUAUAUAAUUUUUUUGUUUGUUUUGUUUUUGAAAUCCCUGAGUAAAUAUAUGCUUAUUUGAAUAUGAUUAUAAUUAAGCGUGAGUGCUUUUGACUGCUACGGCAAGCUAAACAACUCCAAAUUCACCAAAGAGAACUAGAAAAUGACUUUCUGUUGAAAAAAAAAACGAAGAAUGAAUUUUACAGUGUGAUUGAAAACACUUUUUAUAACAUGAAAUAUUUACCAAGCUGAAAGGUAAACGAAUAUUGUCGCUUACGAAUCACGUAUCCGAGCAACAGAAAGUAAUAAGUAAAUAGAAAGUAGUCCUUUUUGGCUUAGUUGAAUGGAGGCCGUAAAUAACAGAGCGAGAGAGUGUCCUUUUUCCUAGUCGGAAUUCAUGCGAUGUCGCAGCAUGAACUCAGUUCAUCCGGGUGGAGGUGUUUAAGUGGCUGGUUAAGCGUAAGUUGCUCUGAGAGGUUCCGUUGGAUAUACCAGCUCUGUGUCGUCAACGACGGACGGUCGCUCGAGGUCAUGCUCCUCCUCGUCGUCCUCCUGUGACUCGCAGCGUGGUUUCUUGGGUGGCGGUACCAACUCAAAAUGGGGUUCGUGUGGAGGUGAUGAGCGUUGGGGGGGCGUGCGGCGCUGAUGCUUGAGGCGCUCGAACAUCAUGAUGAUAACAAGCGUAUGCCAUAAGAAGGACGAAGUUCAACAGUGAGACAACUACUGAAGCGUAUAGUAGAAUUUCGUUGAUUGUGUUGACCUCAACCUCGCUGAUGGAAUCAAUGUCGCCGUCGAUUUUCUCAAUCUGUGCCGUGAAUUGUCGAUCGAGCACGCGGUACGUCUCGUCUAGCCCACGAAGAAUGGUUCAUGACGGUGACCGGCGGAAUGAUAAGCGUACGGAAGUGAAGGUCUAAUUGUUUAUCGUCCAUAACCGACUUCCAAGAGGUAUAUUGGAGAUGUGUUUCUCCAAUGAUCGGUAACUCGAUUUCCAUACGCUGUGGGCAUUCGCCGAUGCCGGACGUAGCGCUCUCGAAGGAUACGUUGCAGGGUAAAUGGAAUACCGCCAGAGGUGUCACACGCAUGGGACCAUUGUUUGUGGUCAACGUCCCAGAUGUUACAGACAAGAAGUAACGUCCGCCGAUGUGGUGAAUUGCCUUCAGGCCGUCACAGUUCUUUGAUGUUAUGUGGUGUCGUGGAUAAGCCAUGUGAGAGUAUGGAGAUCAAAGGAACCCCAACCAGUUUGGAUUUUGAACGACAUUAAGAAGAAUUUCUCAGAUGGUCAAAAGAGGAAAUCAAGCUUCGUAACACUUCGGAAUCGAGGGUUCUCCACCAAUGUAAUGAUUAGACGGGAGGAAUUCUGUUGACUGGGAUCGUACCUUUUUUCUGAAGUCAGUAGGAUGAAGAGUAAUGAGGAUUUACAAUGUGGUCCUAUUUUUAGCAAAACGAGUAGUACGUUUGAUUGGCAAGCACUGACCACGUGUGCAGAGUGCAGUGAUUGGACGGUACUUGACAAUGCAAACAGUCGCAUCAGAUAUCAUUAACUGUCGGCAAAAUUAGCGAUAACAAAGGAAAGCUUUGAAAAGAAUUUAAGGAUACAAAACGAAUGUCCUUUGCCAUGAAAC